rnacentral:lncRNA from 1 species
CCGCUUCAAGUUCCUCCUCUUCAAUUGCAGGUUUUUCAUCUUUCUCUCCAACAACUAGUUCUUCAGGUUUCUCUUCAAGUGCCAGUUCUUCAGGUGUUUCCUCCUUUGCCAGCUCUUCAGGUGUUUCCUCCUUUGCCAGCUCUUCAGGUGUUUCUUUAGCUGCCGGUUCUUCAGGUUUCUCUUCAACCUCCGGUUCUUGUGGUAUUUCCUCUACUUGUACUUCAGAUUUCUCCUCAAUUGUUGGUUCUUCAGGUUUCUCUCUAACCGCUGCUGCAUUAGGUUUCUCUUCAUUGGCUGGUUCUUCAGGUUUUUCUUCAACUACCGAUUCUUCAGGAUUUUCCUCAAUGUUUGGAAAGGGAGCGACAUCAUUAUUGGUAUUGCAUGGAAUUUCACUGCCAGUUUUGUCAUUCAAGUCCACAACUAGUAUAUUCUGCAAAAGAGUUUAAUGUUUCACUUAGUCUUUCAAUAAAGAAGCAGAUGCGAAUCAUUACAUAUACAUAACUAAUAACAUGGAUAAACUUUAUGACAGUAGUUGACCCUUACCUUUUCCACAAGAGUUACUUUUGCAGGUUUCUCCUCUUCAAGUGCUGGUUUCUCUUCAAAUGAUAGUUCAUUAGGUGUUUCUUCCCGUGUUGGUUCUUCAUGUGCUUCUUCAGUUACUGGUUUUUCAGGUUUCUCCUCAAUUGUUGGUUCUUCGCUUGUCUUCUCAACUGAUGGUUCCUCAUGCUUCUCUCCCGUUGUUGAUUUUUCGGGUUUCUCUUCAGUUGUCGAUGGUUCAGUUUUUUUCUCAACCGCUGGUUCUUUUGGCUUCUCCAAAACCAUUUCCGAUUUCUCUUCAGUUGGUGGUUCUUCAUGGUUUUUUUCAACUACUGGUUCUUCUCUUUUUUCCUCAACUGAUGCAUAGUCAGCAAUAUCGUUGUUGGUAUUGCUUGGAAUUGCAUUGUCUGUCUUGUCCUUUGAGCUUACAAUUGGCAUAUUCUGCUAGAAAAAUAUAAAGUUUCAUGUAGUCUUUCAACAGAGAAACCAAUGUAAAUUUGUUGCACAUAUAAAGCUAACAAAUAUGAUGGAUAGACUUUGCGAGAGUGUUUAAUACUCACCUUCUCCGGAAGAGCUUCCGUUUCAGGUUCCUCUUCAAUUUCUGCUUUUUCAUCUUUCUCUUCAACAACUAGUUCUUCAGGUGUCUCUUCAACCGUUGAUUCUUCAGGUUUCUCUUCAAGUGUUAGUUCUUGAGGUGUUUCCUCCUUUGCUAGCUCUUCAGGUGUUUCUGUAACUGCCGGUUCUUCAGGUUCCUCUUCAGCCACCGGCUGUUGACGUAUCUCCUCUACUUGUACUUCAGAUUUCUCCUCAAUUGUUGGUUCUUCAGGUUUCUCCUUAACCGCUGGUACAUCAGGUUUAUCCUCAUUGACUGGUUCUUCAACUGCUGAUUCUUCUAGAUUUUCCUCAAUGUCUGGAAAGCGAGCAACAUCAUUAUUGGUAUUGCAUGGAAUUUCAUUUCCAGUUUCGUUAUUCGAGUCUACAAUUAGCAUAUUCUGCAAAAAGAAUUUAAUGUUUCAUUUAGCCUUUCAAUAAAGAAGCAUAUGCGAAUAACAGUACAUGCAUAACUAACAAAAUGGAUAAACUUUGUGAUAGUGCUUGAUCCUUACCUUUGCCAAAAGAGUUACCUUUUCAGGUUUCUCCUCUUCAACGGUUGGUUCUUCAUGUUUCUUUUCAAAUGCUAGUUCCUUGGUUGUUUCUUCCGGUGUUGGUUCCAUAGGUGUUUCUUCAGUUACUUGUUUUUCGGGUUUCUCUUCAAUUAUUGGUUCUUCGAUUGUCUUCUCAACUGAUGGUUCUUCAAGAUUUUCUCCCACUGUUGGUUUUUGGGGUUUCUCUUCUAUUGUUGGUUGUUCAGGAAUUUUCUCAACUGGUGGUUCUGCUGGAUAUUCCAAAACCAUUGAUUCUUCAGAUUUCUCUUCAAUUGAUGGUUCUUCAUGGGUUUUUUCAACUACUGGUUCUUCAAUUUUUUCCUCAACAGAUGCAUAGUCAACAAUAUCAUUAUUGGUAUUGCUUGGAAUUGCAUCGUCUGUCAUGUCCUUUGAGUUUACUUUUGGCAUAUUCUGCAAUAGAGUUUCAUGUAAUCUUUCAACAGAUAAACAGAUGUAAAUUUGUUGCACAUAUAAAGCUAAUAUGGUGGAUAAACUUUGUGACAGUGUUUAAUCCUCACCUUCUCCUGAAGAUCUUCCGCUUCAAGUUCCUCCUCUACAAUUGCAGUUUUUUCCUCUUCCCCUUCAACAACUAGUUCUUCAGGUGCCUCUUCAGCCGUUGAUUCUUCAGGUUUCUCUUCAAGUGCUAGUUCUUCAGGUGUUUCCUCCUUUGCCAGCUCUUCAGGUGUUUCUUUAGAUGCCGAUUCUUCAGGUUUCUCUUCAGCCAUCGGUUCUUGAGGUAUUUCCUCUACUUGUACUUCAUAUUUCUCCUCAAUUGUUUGUUCUUCAGGUUUCUCUUCAGGUUUCUCCUUAACCACUGGUACAUCAGGUUUCUCUUGAUUAACUGGUUCUUUGGGUUUUUCUUCAACAGCCGAAUCUUCAGGAUUUUCCUCAAUGUCUUGAAAGCAAGCAAUAUCUUUAGUGGUAUUGCAUGGAAUUUCACUGCCAGUUUUGUUGUUCGAGUCUACAAUUAGCAUAUUCUGCAAAAGGAAUUUGAUGUUUCAUUUAGCCUUUUAAUAAAGAAGCAGAUGUGAAUAACAUUACAUGCAUAACUUACAAAAUGGAUAAAUUUUGUGACAGUCCUUGACCCUUACCUUUUCAGGUUUCUCCUCUUCAACAGCUGAUUCUUCAUGUUUCUCUUCAAAUGCUAGUUCUCUGGGUGUUUCUUCCCGUAGUGCUUCUUCAUGUGCUUCUUCAGUUACUGGUUUUUCAGGUUUCUCCUCAAUUGUUGGUUCUUUGAUUGUCUCCUCAACAGAUGGUUCUUCAAGCUUCUCUCCCGUUGUUGAUUUUUCUGGUUUCUCUUCAAUUGCUGGUUGUUCAGGAAUUUUCUCAACAGCUGGUUCUUCUGGCUUCUCUAAAACCAUUGAUUCUUCAGCUUUCUCUUCAAUUGAUGGUUCUUCAUGGUUUUUUUCAACUAUUGGUUCUUCAGUUUUUUCCUCAACGGAUGCAUAGUCAACAAUAUCAUUGUUGGUAUUGCUUGGAAUUGCAUCGUCUGUCAUGUCCUUUGAGUUUACUUUUGGCAUAUUCUACAAUAAAGUUUCAUGUAGUCUUUCAAUAGAUAAACAGAUGUAAAUUUGUUGCAACAUAUAAAGCUAAUAUGGUGGAUAAACUUUGUGACAGUGUUUAAUCCUCACCUUCUCCCGAAGAUCUUCCGCUUUAAGUUCCUCCUCUUCAAUUGCUGUUUUUUCAUCUUUCGUUUCAACAACUAGUUCUUCAGGUGCCUCUUCAGCCGUUGAUUCUUCAGGUUUUUCUUCAAGUGCCAGCUCUUCAGGUGUUUCCUCCUUUGCCAUCUCUUCAGGUGUUUCCUCCUUUGCCAGCUCUUCAGGUGUUUCUUUAGCUGCUGGUUCUUCAGGUUUCUCUUCAGCCGCCAGUUCUUGAGGUAUCUCCUUUUCUACUUCAGAUUUCUCCUCAACUGUUGGUUCUUCAGGUUUCUCUUCAUUAACUGGUUCUUUGGGUUUUUCUUCAACAGCCGAAUCUUCAGGAUUUUCCUCAAUGUCUGGAAAGUGAGCAACAUCUUUAUUGGUAUUGCAUGCAAUUUCACUGUCAGUUUUGUCGUUCAAGUCUACAAUUAGCAUAUUCUGCAAAAAGAAUUUGAUGUUUCAUUUAGCCUAUUAAUAAAGAAGCAGAUGUGAAUAACAUUACAUGCAUAACUUACAAAAUGGAUAAACUUUGUGAUGGUCCUUGACCCUUACCUUUCCAGGCUUCUCCUCUUCAACGGCCAGUUCUUGUUUCUCUUCAAAUGCUAGUUCCCUGGGUGUUUCUUCCUGUAUUGGUUCUUCAUGUGCUUCUUCAGGUACUGGUUUUUCAGGUUUCUCCUCAAUUGUUGGUUCUUCGAUUGUCUCCUCAACAGAUGGUUCUUCAAGGUUCUCUCCCGUUGUUGAGUCUUCUGGUUUCUCUUCAAUUGCUGGUUGUUCAGAAAUUUUCUCAACAGCUGGUUCUUCUGGCUUCUCCAAAACCAUUGAUUCUUCAGCUUUCUCUUCAAUUAAAGGUUCUUCAUGGUUUUUUUCAACUACUGUUUCUUCAGUUUUUUCCUCAACGGAUGCAUAGUCAACAACAUCAUUGUUGGUAUUGCUUGGAAUUGCAUCGUCUGUCAUGUCCUUUGAGCUUACUUUUGGCAUAUUCUGCAAUAAAGUUUCAUGUAGUCUUUCAAUAGAUAAACAGAUGUAAAUUUGUUGCACAUAUAAAGCCAAUAUGGUGGAUACACUUUGUGACAGUGUUUAAUCCUCACCUUCUCCUGAAGAUCUUCCGCUUCAAGUUCUUCCUCUUCAAUUGCUGUUUUUUCAUCUCUCUCUUCAACAACUUGUUCUUCAGGUGCCUCUUCAGCCGUUGAUUCUUCAGGUUUCUCUUCAAGCACUAGUUCUUCAGGUGUUUCCUCCUUUGCCAGCUCUUCAGGUGUUUCUUUAGCUGCCAGUUCUUCAGGUUUCUCUUCAGCUGCCGAUUCUUGAGGUAUUUCCUUUACCUGUACUUUAGAUUUCUCCUCAAAUGUUGGUUCUUCAGGUUUCUCCUUAACCGCAGGUACAUCAGGUUUCUCUUCAGCUGCUGGUUUUUGAGGUUUCUCCUCUACUUGUACCUCGGAUUUCUCCUCAACCAUCGGUUCUUCAGGUUUCUCCUCAACCUCUGGUACGUCAGGUUUCUCUUCAUUAACAAGUUCUUCACUUUUUUCUUCAAUAGUUGAUUCUUCAGGAUUUUCCUUAGUGUCUGGAGAGUAAGCAACAUCAUUAUUGGUAUUGCAUGGAAUUUCACUGCCAGUUGUGUCGUUCGACUCUACCAUUGGCAUAUUCUGCAGAAAGAAUUUAAUGUUUCACUUUGCCUUUCAAUAAAGAAGCCGAUGUAAAUCAGAGGACAUACAUAACUAAAAAAGAUGGAUUAACUUUGUGAUAGUGUUUGACUCUUACCUUUUCGAAAAGAGUUAUCUUUUCAGGUUUCUCCUCUUCAACUGUUGGUUCUUCAUGUUUCUCUUCAAAUGCUAGUUCCUCAGGUGUUUCUUCCUGUAUUGGUUCCUCAGGUGUUUCUUCUUCUGUUACUUGCUUUUCAGGUUUCUCCUCAAUUGUUGGUUCUUUGAUUGUCUCCCCAAUCGAUGGUUCUUCAAGCUUUCCCCCCCCUGUUGGUUUUUCAGGUUUCUCUUCAAUUUUCGGUUGUUCAGGUAUUUUCUCAACUGCCGGUUCUUCUGCCUUCUCCAACACCAUUGAUUCUUCAGAUUCCUCUUCAAUUGAUGAUUCUUCAUGGGUUUUUUUAACUACUGACUCUUCUGUGUUUUCCUCAACUGAUGCAUAAUCAGCAAUGUCGUUGUCGGUAUUGCUUGGAAUUGCAUUGUCUAUCUUGUCCUUUGAGUUUAAUUUUGGCAUAUUCUGCAAUAAAGUUUCAUGUAGUCUUUCAAUAGAUAAACAGAUGUAAAUUUGUUGCACUCAUAAAGCUAAUAUGAUGGAUAAAAUUUGUGACAGUGUUUAAUCCUCACCUUCUCCUGAAAAACUUCUGUUUCAAGUUCCUCCUCUUCAAUUGCUGCUUUUUCAUCUUUCUUCUCUACAACUAAUUCUUCAGGUUCCUCCUCAACGGUUGAUUCUUCAGGCUUUUCUUCAAGUACUAGUUCUUCAGGUGUUUCCUCCUUUGCUAGCUCUUCAGGUGUUCCUUUAGCUGCCGGUUCUUCUGGCUUCUCUUCAGCCUCCGGUUUUUGAGAUAUCUCCUCUACUUGAACUUUAGAUUUCUCAUUAAUU